GAGAGAGAGAGAGAGAGAGAGAGAGAAAAGUAGGGCUCACCUGAAGCAGGGCUGGUGCUCACCCGAUGUGGGACUUGAACUCAUCAACUGUGAGAUCAUGACCUGAGCCGAAGUCAGAUGCUUAAUUGAGUCACCCCUGUGCCAAUAAUUAAAAAAUUUUAAGGCAUUUUAAUACCAAAAAAUAAUCUCACAAUAGAGGACAAUCUUCUUAAUUGGGAUAAAUUUGGCUUUAUUUUUUUAUUUUUAUUUUUAAAAAAUUUUUAAUGUUUACUUUUGAGAGAGACAGAAUGUGAGCGGGGGAGGAGCAGAGAAAGGAAGACACAGAAUCCAAAGCAGGCUCCAGGCUCCAGGCUCCGGGCUGUCAGCACAGAGCCUGAUGUGGGGCUCGAACUCAUGAACUGUGAGAUCAUGACCUGAGCCUAAGUUGGACACUUAACCAACUGAGCCACCCAGGCACCCCUAAAUUUAGCUUUAUGAACACAAACAUAUCCUUUUAUAAUUUUAUUGAUGGCCAGGGAAGUGUUUUCAGGGAUCAGCAUCUGUAAGUGUGGGAAACAUUGCCAUAUACCUUUGAAAGACUUAUUUUGCCCCUACUCUAGAACUUACUUUAAUCCUCUUCUUAUUUGAAGGGCUACAAAGCUGUCCUUGAUUGUUAGCACUGUUGUGUGGCAAAUGUGGGAAAUUUGUUUCAUCAGUUUCUCUGCCAGCUGUCCUGGAAUAUCCUGGAUGUUUUUCUUUUCAUAUUUCCCUUUUUCAUUUGUUUCUUAGAGUGUAGUUCUUCCUUUGUGUUAUGUCCUCUUUGCCUGCAGUAUUUACAUUUCUCCCCUUGAAUUUUCCAGCCUUCUCUCUUCUCCCUGUUUCUUUUGCUGUUUCAGCUUUGAUUAAACUGUAGUUGAUAGGAAAAGGGUAAUUACAGUGAUAGGCCUAUAACAAGGAAAAUGCAAGUUUCAGAUUUUCAAAGUAAAGUUAGAAAUUGUGUCUUGAACCUUUUAAGCCCUUGAAAGGAUCCUGAAGAUGCCCUCAGAAUCCAUGCAGAAAGUCAUGCAUUUCCUUAUCCUUCUAAAUGAAUGUGUUUUUUCUUCCCAGACAGCAGUAUUUAACUAAUAUUUGAAACAGUAUUGUUUUAUACUGUUUAUAACAAAUGGAAGCUAAGAAGCUAACCACAGUUUCCCUCCUUGAGGGGAACUGUGUUCUGAAUUCCAAUAGACUGUUUUAGAUAGAAUCCAAUUAUGUGUUUAAUGGUCCAAAAUCAAAUCUAAUAUUUCUGAAUGCAAAUGAGUCUAGAAUAUCUGUUUUUCUUAUAUUUGAAAGAUCUGUGCUUUUUCUUCACUGACUUUCUUAUAUACACAUUUCGUAAGUUAAGAAAAAAAGUUGUAGGUUAAGUAAGGAAUGGGUAUAGUUUUCAUUUAACUUCUGAGUUUUUUAAAAUUUUUUAAAUGUUUAUUCAUUUUUGAGAAAGAGAGAGAGCGGGCGGGGAAGGGGCAGAGAGAGAGGGAGACACAGAGAGAGAGAGAGAGAGCGGGCGGGGAAGGGGCAGAGAGAGAGGGAGACACAGAAUCCGAAGCAGGCUCCAAGCUCUGAGCUGUCAGCACAGAGCCUGACAUGGGGCUUGAACUCAUGAAGUUGGACGCUUAACCCACUGAGCCACCCAGGCCCCCUUAACUUCUAAGUUUUUAUAAUAGCGAAUGCUUCCAAUUAAGGCAUUGAAAUGGGGGAGUUAUGUUUCAUGAGGUCUGGUGGAAGACCAGAGCUGUUUUAUGUGAAAGGUGCUGAGUGGGAUGCUUCUGGAGCAGUACUUCCAAUCUCUUUUACCUCAGAACACACUGAAAAGUAAUACUUUGUACAGGACAUGGGGAUAGGAGGUUUUAAACUACAGACAAGCUGCCACUGGACUGGUAGCCCCAGAUGGCUGCCCCAGGAGGUGAGAUAUCAGUAUCUUAAGACUUUCAGCUCUUAUAUUGGGAAGUUCUGCUCUAUAGAGGGCAUUCAGGAGGUCCUAGUCUUGUGAAGAGCUCAAUAUUUACAAGUUAUAACGCAAACAUAUAGUGUUAAGUUAUGAUAGUAUUAUUUGGUGAAAUAGUAAGAAUGGAGGUUAGAUCUGUUUGAGGUGGAAAGGAUCUAGUAAAGGCUCUGUAGAGGGGGUGGUGCAUGGAAGGAAUUAUCUUGUGCAAAGGUAGAGUGGGAGCAAAGGGCAGAGGGAACUUGGGGUCUGCCAAGGAUUUCUGAUUUGGUUGGAGGGUAAGAUUUGGGGAUGCAAAUAGGAAGCAGGAUAGUGGGAAUUACUGUUAAGAAAGUAGGCUGCAGUUGGCUUCAGGAGGGCCUUUAUGAGAUUGAAUGAGCUCAUGACUUUGGGCAACACUGGUGGUGACACUUCCCCUAUUCCUUUUAGGAAAAUCCUUCUGGGGCAGUGUAGAGUGAACUGAAGCCUGCAAGCUGAUACAUCCCUCGGGAGGGAAAGACAUUGAUCCAGGCUAGAUGAGGGAUAAUAAAGGCUUGCACUUUAUUAUUGGUGAAUAGAGGUUGAAAGUGCUUCUUGAAGUGGGAACCCAAAAUUCUGCUUAUUGAUAAGGAGAAAGGUGACUCACAUUUGGAGUCUGGUUGAAGGAAAGGAUGACUCAAGACUAUUUUCAGAAUUAGAGUCUUGUAUAGGUGACAAGGAACUUGAUUUUGGACAUGGGGAUUUUAAGAUGCUUGCAGAAAAAUAAGUGUUAACGUUUAUAAAAUGCUAGGUUCUGAUCUAAGCACAUUUUAAAACUCCUUCUAUUCUCAUAAUAGCCAUAAAAAAGUACGUGUUAUCAGUUAGUGUCCAGUCAGGAAAAUAAAGCGCACGGAAUGUUUUAAGCACCGAAGGGUUUAAUGCAGGAAAUUGGUUACAGUGGUAUUGGAAGAGCUGGAGGAACAAAAAGAAAAAGGUGUGUGUUGGAGCAAAAAGGAGAAGGGAACAAAGAGGAGGAGAAAGGAGAGGAGGAGAGAGUAAGUGCGUGCGUGCGUGCGUGUGUGUGUAGAUGAAUGUUGGAGGAACAAAAAGGAGAAGGAAAUGUUAAUCAGUUGUCAGCUGCUGCAUAAACUGUAUGCUCUACAGAUUUGCUGGAGAUCUUCAUUGGUUCUGCUGCUUUGGAACCCCCACAGAUGCUGCUGGAGCCUCUGGCUGUCUGUUGCUGCUUGUGGAGGUACCACCAGGAACAGGAAACAAAGACAUUUUUCUUGCUCUCACCUUGGAAUCUCCUGCCACCAUAUCCAAGAGGAAGGUAGUUGGUAAAGGGAGUUUGGAAAAUACAGUUUAUAGAUUUCCAGCUCCUAUGUAAUAAUAGAGAAGAGAAGAGAACCAACAGAAAAAUAACCAGCACAGUGGGUACUGUUUUUAUCCUUAUAUUACAGGUGUGGAGACCAAGUCAUGGGAGAAGGUCACACAGAUACAGCUUGGCAGAGUUGAGAUGUGGAUGUAGGUAGUCUGGUUUCAGAGUGUGUGCUCUUAGCCUCUGCACUUUCAUCUUGCCUCCACACAUGGUUAUUAUUUGCUUUUUCUCCUUAUUGCUGAGCACUUCAAAUGAGCAGCUGUUUCCAUUGAUUUUGCUUAUCCUGCACUUACUUUUCUUUGAUAUCUCUUACUGGCAACAGUUUUUCACCUCAACCUCUGGAACCUGUCUUCUGGUCCCUAUUGAUUUUAUAGCUAAUAUAAUGGGUUAUUUCAGUUUCUAUUUGUCUUUAAUCUAUUUCUGACUUUUGAUACGGAUGGAUACCUAUUUAUAUGGGAUUCCAACCUUGAUUUCUAUGAUGCCGACUUGCUUUAUUUUCCCCUUAUCUCACUGAGGCUCUUUGGUUUUUUUCUUUUUCUUCCCAUUCCUUAAACCAUUGCCAUAUCUUGCCUUGAGUUUGGAUUUUAGUGUAUUUUAAGAAGCUGCUUAAUGUUAAUUUUAUAUUUAAAUCAGGACCAAUAAAAUCUUCAUGUAUACAGUUCUUAUGACCUUUUUCCUUUGUGUGUUAUGAAGUCAGACAAGUCAGAGCAGGGUUUCAAUUUGUGUUCUGCCCUGGGCAAGGAGGAGGAGAGUAGGAUGACUGAAGGAGACAGUCUCACUCUGAGUAUCUACUAUGUACCAGCACUGUGCUAAGUGCUUCAAAUGUGUUGCUUCAUUUAAGUUCUCCUGUGUGAGAUUGCUUGUUUGUUACCCUUAUUUACAGAUGAAGAAACUAACUCUUUGUGAUGAACCAGUAAUAGAACUGAGGUUGAAACCCUCAUCUGAUUUGCUCUGACAGCCAGAUUCUUUCCUCUGGACCACCUGGGAGAAGCUCCUACUUUCUUAUCUGUUAAGUGAAGAAACUGGGCAAGAUCAGUUUUAAGGCCCAUUUCAGUAUCAUCGUUCUGAUUUUGUCACAAACUAGUGUCGCAAGCAGUAGUUGCUUCUCGUAUUGAAAAAGGAAGUUGCCUUCCCACUCCACGAAACAUCCUGUUUUAUUAAGAUCAAGAGUACUAAUGUGUUAUUUGUAAAAGUUAUGAAGUAGGGCACAGGCAUUUAAAGUAGUCAUGAUGAUAGAUCUUCAUGUAAGUUGCAAGAGAGCCCCAUUACCUCCAAAUGAGGCUGCUGCCUAGAACAUUAGAGGCUGUGGCUUUUAUUGACAGGUGCUCAGAAUAAUAGCUUUGGAACAACUCCAGUCUAAACAAAAGGGCAAUCCAGUUAUUCCAUUAUACUUUAUGCUGAAAGCAUGUGCUUCCAGAUUAAGAAUCCCUUUCUUUGGAUGGAAUUUAGUGUGAGAUUUGCAAGAAGAUAGUGCAAAAUACAUUUUAAAGAUAAAGUUCACUGUAAUAUGGUUUGAUUUCUUUAUAAAGCCAGUGGACAACCCUAAAAUGGUUAACUGUCAUGUGAUUCAUCCAUGUCUUGCCAUCACACAUGCAAAUAGAUGGUUUAAGUGGAUACCAACAUCUUCUCUUGAUAUAAAGGACCCAUUAUAAAAUACUCAUCUAAGUAUUCCUACACACACACACACACAUAUCAUUAGGAUAAGUGCAAGUGCGUUUUGGAGCACCUGGGUGACUCAUUCUGUUAAGCGUCUGACUAUUGAUUUCAGCUCAGGUCAUGCCUGAUCUCAUGGUUUGUGAGUUCGACCCCUGUGUCAAACCACGCUUCGGGCCCACACUGACAAUGCAGAGCCUGCUUGUGAUUCUCUCUCUCUUCUCUCUGUCUGUGCCUCCCUAUCUUCCUCCCUCUUCCUCUCUCUCAAAAUAAAUAAAUAAGCUGAAAAAAAAAAUAGAGUAUGUUUCCAGAUUCCGUAGAAUUUGUUUUAUCUUCUUUACUCAUAAACAUCCUCCAGCCCUCCCUCAUUCAUGUUUUAUUUUGUAAAAAUGGGAAAUUGAAAUGUUUAUACCUCUGUUUUUAACUUUUAGUUUUAUUGACUUUGCCUGCUUUAGAGGAAGCCUGCAGGGGAAUCUCGGCUCCCUGGCCACUCCUUCCUUUGGUUUAGGUGGUUGGUUCUUCCUUUAGCAAACCUCUAACUAUAUGUGUCCCCGGCACCUGAGGCUGGGCUAUUUUCUCCUACGUAGGUGAUACCAAUCACCCCCAAAUUCUUCUAUGCUACCAAGUGAUGAUUACUACCCAAUUUUGGUUUCCAGGUCUGACUGCUCUCCUGGUUGCUUAUUUACUUCUUAAGUCUAUUUAGAUUUGGUGGGAAUUUCAUGCCAUACAUUGGAAUGUAACAUAUUUUAUCGAUUAUAUUAAUGAACUUAACUAUUUUAUUUUUUUAUUAAAAAAAUUUUUUUAAUGUUUAUUUUUGAGACAGAGAGAGACAGAGUGUGAGUGAGGGAGGGGCAGAGAGAGAGGGAGACAUAGAAUCCGCUCCAGGCUCUGAGCUGUGAGCACAGAGCCAGACGCAGGGCUCGAACCCAUCGACCACGAGAUCGUGACCUGAGCCGAAGUCAGACACUCAACCAACCGACCGAGCCACCCAGGCGCCCCUGAACUUAACUAUUUUAAAAGAUUCCAUUGUGGAAUGUCAUGUUCAUAAACGUAGGUAAUAACAAGGGUUUGGGGUUAAAAACAGGAAUUUGUUUCUGUGGAAAUAAUUCCUAGACCACCUUCUUGGGUGGGGAAUGAAUGACUUGCUGAAUUUUGAAAAAUGGCAAAUUUUGAGAAAUGGCAGUUAUAAGGGUAUGACACAGAAAUAUAGCAGUGCUUGAUAUAGUUGCUGUAAUAAAAGUGGAAUAUUUUAAACUUUGUUCACAUUUGACAGCUUCUAUUUUUUGAGGUAUCUCAAAUACAUUUUGUAUGAUCACCUCCAUUUCACCCCUCCCUUGUGUGCUUUUAUUUUAAUCCAGCGAAGCCAGCCUCACAGUAAACAGUGUGAUUAUAUUCUCUUCUAACACUUAGUGGUUUUUGGUACUUAAGUUUGUCUAAUGGGCCCAUCACUAAAAGUCAGAGUCAUUUCUCUCUGCUGCCUUGAUAGAGAGCAUGUGGGUUUGCGUGGGGCUGCCUUGCAACACAGCACUGAGUUGUAGUGUGCAGAAAAGCUGUUCUCUUGAUCCACUACACCUGGCAGUCCCCGGGCAGGUGUGUCUAAGAUGAGGAUGUUUUCAAUGUACUUUAGUUCCUCUUCAAUACGGUGCCUCAGACCCCAAGACCUAUCUCUUACUUGUAUUAGGCAUCACCUCUUACCUCCCUUAACCCUUAUAGUGAGCCAGAGGAAGAGGGUUGUUUGUGUUUUUGUGGACUCUUUUGGGCAGUGCAGUGUACUAGCCUGCCUUCCCUCACCAUCUUUGUGUAUCUGAUUUGAUGGAGCCGUAGCAGUGGCCCAUUCUAGUGUGCUCCAGCAAGACCCUGCUUAUCUGUAAGCCUAAAACGUAGGGUAUUUUCUACACUUUUGAAAAAAAAAAAAUAUCACAAGCUGACUAAGCAAAAAAAAAAAAAAAAAAAAAAGCACUCUAAAAAUUCCGGCCCUAUUUUCCUCUUACCUAAUUAGGAGACCCUAAAUCCUCCUUUACAAUCUGUAUUUCUUCUUAAGAGAUCAUUUUAGAAAGUCUGACUGUUUCCCUUUCUAGUUAACAGUGUAUUUGAAGGAGAUGUGGAAGAGGGGAAAGAAGGGUAAGCUCCAUAUAGGCAGGUUAGCAUCCAAGAGUGCCAGCUUGAGAAAGUGAUAGUUUGAGAAAGUAAAACCUUAAAAAAAAAAAACAAAAAAAAAAAAGAUUCAAGAACUCACCAAAAGCAUUUUGAGGCCAUUUGGUGUGAGACCAAAGCCCCCAACACCUCACUCUUCCUUGAAGAAUCACUGUGCUAUUGCUUACUGAUCUUCUUGAGUCCUCUACUUGAGUCAGUUCUGUUUACCAAGCAUAUUACACACUCUCUCCUCAUAACAGCUCCAUCAUGCAAGAACUGUUGUAUCAACUCUUACAUUUAUUUUGUAGCUGAGAAAAGUGAGAGAUUUUUUUCUCUAGCUUUUCCAAGACUCAUUGAGCAGGGGAGCUAGCAUAUGAAUCUUGGUAGUCGGAUUCCAGAGUUCGUGCCUUUCCCAUAAUCUCCAGUCCCCAGAAGAGAACAGGCCAGAGCACAGGGAGGCAGUAUAAUAUAGUGGUUAGACUUUCUAGCUUCAGAUUGUAGUUCUGUUACUUUCUGAUUUUUUUAACUAAUGUUCAUUGCCUCUGUUUCUGUAUUUAUAAAAUAUUGCACUGGAUUUUAAAGUUGUUUGUACUUACAUCAUAGGGUUAUUGUGAGGAUUCAGUGAGACUUUGUAUGUAAAUAACGCAGUGCCCAGCACAUAUUAAGAGCUCGGAACACGUUAGCUACUAUACUUUAUAUAAAAUACAGUUACUAAUGAUUCACAGCAGACACAUAAGUAAUUUUUUUAUAUUUAAGAAGAUAGAUGUUUAAUACAUCCUAGGAACAUUUUACGCAGCUGAAAUAUUUAAAGAGUAUUAAUACUUACACAGGGUCAUCAUUUAUCACUAUAAGUUAGGAUAAUUGGCAUUGCCAUUUUAGAUACUGAGAUGUUGUUUUGCUUGAUGUAUAAACAUUAGAAAAGAAGGUGAAACAAAACCUUUCAGAGGUCUGCCUUUGAUUUUCCUUUAUGGUAUUUGCUCCUGAACUUUUAAAUAAAUCCUUAAAAAAAAAAGUCAGGGCUUUGGCUCAGUAGGAGGCUUACCUUUUUAAUUAUCAGUUUGCCUUUUGGGUAAAGAACUGUGGGUUUUCUAUUAUGUGUGUCAUUAGAUGAAACAAGUCUUACUGCUGGCUGGCUACCAAGAAAGGACAUAUAUCAGGGAUGUCAUCACAAAGUUUCCCUUUGAUCACAUUGCCUGCACAAGAUGCAAGUCCAUCAGCUCUCUGAUGGAGCUCUGGCACGGAGAGGAGAGGCAUGCAAAAGUGUCCUUCACCCCAAAGUGUACUUUCUGCUUUGCCAUUUAAUAGCUAUGUGAACUUGGGCAAAUCACUUAAGCUUUCUGAACCUCAGCUUCAUCGUUUAAUACCUGCCUUGCUUAAGUUAAAAGGUUGGUUGGAAUGUGAGGUGGCAUAUAAUAUGUGAAGGGAGCACCUUGAGGGAGUGCUAUAAAGAAAGGUCUAGAUACAUUUUAGUUAUCAAAUAUUUUAUAUAUGAUGCCUUUUUAAAACUAUGAAGUGUUGUACAAAUGUUUGUUGGUGGUUUUAGCAAUCACUUCCUUUGGUACUAGAUACAGAUUCAUGUGUUGUUAUAAGAUCUGAAGACCCAGUAGUUUUAGUAAUAAAUGUGGCAGUUCUUGGGGAGCUAAAUCUCACAUUCCCUAUCCUAGAAUUUAUCUCCUAUAACAAUCAAAAGGUCUCUGAGCAUAGGUAAGUGAAAGCCCAAGUUGAAUGAAAUAAUUUUAUCAUUGGGUUAAACUUCAUAAAUGAGCCUUUUGUUAACCAUUAUUUAAGAAAAAAACAAAACUUUUAAAAAUAUUUAUUCUUUGAGAGAGAGCGAGAGCGCGCAAGUGCUAGCACAUGAGCAGGGGAGGGGCAGAGAGAGGGAGACACAGAAUUCAGAGCAGGUUCCAUGCUCUGAGCUGUCAGCACAGAGCCCUACGUGGGGCUUGAAUUUGCAAGCCAUGAUACUGUGACCUGAGCUGAAGUCAGGCGCUUCACUGACUAAGCUACCAAUCACAUUUUUAAAAGUUUAUUUAUUUUGAGAGAGAGACAGAGAGAAAGAAAGAUUGGGUGAGGGGCAGAGAGAGAGAGGGAGAGAGAGAAUCCCAAGCAAGCUCUACGCUAUAGCAUGGAGCCUGACGUGGGCUCGAUUUCAUGAACUGUGAGAUCAUGACCUGGGCCAAAAUCAAGAGUUGGAUGCAUAACCAACUGAACCAUCCAGGCAUCCCAGCCACCAUUUCAUGUAAUAGCUAAAAGAAACAGGUCUCAAAGUCUCUUGUAAUAAAUGUAUUGAUUUAUGGUUGGCUAGAAUUGAUCUUCCUAGUGUCAAGCUUAGGGUGACAUGGAGGUUUAGCUGGACUUUUUUUUAGUCAUUUGGGUAGGCUAUCCAGUUCUUUCAGAAAUGUUCCAAUACUGUGCACAGGUGUUAUUGGAUGUGGACAGCCUAUGUAUGUCUGCUUACUUGAGUUGUGGUUUGUGAUUAUCCUCACUUGUGGGACAUUAGUGUUUCCUCUACUCAAGCAUAGCUCUGUAUGCUUGUGUAAGAACCAAACUCCCUGUGGUCUCAGGAACUGUCCUGCUAGCAUGGGACACAUUAUUAAGAUUUAGAAUAUUAUUAAAUAUGAUUUUUACCUAACAAAGUUUUUUCUUAGUACAAGUAGCUCUUUUCCAGCAGACAUUUUGCUAAGUACUGAGGAUGUCAGAUUUUACAAAAAAACUAGAAAAUGGAGGCUGUAGCAUAAGUCACAUAAUAAAACAUACCAGGUUAAAAAUCAAAUGGCUUUCCGACUGCAUUUAAAAUAAAAUAACUAGUGGAGUAAUUUCUAAAGUCCUAGGUAGGCUCACAAUCAAUUGUGUUUUGCAUCCUUUGUACAGUGGAAUUUGGAUCAUACGUAACAAAUUACCUGAGGAAUCUUUAUUGUACUUUCUAUUUUUCUUUUUUGGGAAAAGAAUGUCAAAGAACACUCAAAUUUCUGUUCUUAUAUUUUAAAUUUGCACAUGGUCUGUAAAGCACUCAUUUUUCAAAGAUUUAUUAAAAUAAAAGUAAUUAAACCACAUUUUGAGAUUUUUGCACGAUAGUGGGGGAAAAACCAUUCUGUACCAUCACAUUAACCAACUAUAGUCUAAUUUUAGUGUUUUUCUUUUUUGUAUUUUCCUGUGCAUUAAAAAGGGGUUUCUAUCAUCUGUACAUUUUUGUAUCCAGCUCUUUUUUGGUUUGACAAUGCAAUGUAUGAAAAGCAGUUUUCUUGGGGCUCCUGGUGGCUCAGUUGGUUAGGUGUCCCACUCUUGAUUUUCGCGCAGGUCAUGGUCUCUCAGUUCUUGAGAUACAGCCCCACAUCGGGCUCUGUGCUGACAUUGCAGAGCCUGCUUGGGAUUGUUUUUCUCCCUCUACGUCGCUGCCCCUUCCCAGCUCAUGGGCUCUCUCUCUCUCUCAAAAUAAAUAAAUGAAUGUUAAAAAAAAAAGAGAAUAUAUUAGAAAAAUAUUUUUCUUUUUAUAUACCUGUUAUAAUUAUUUUUUAUUUUUUUGAUGUUUUAUUUAUUUUUGAGCGAGAGAGAGAGAGAGAGAGAGAGUGAGUGUGUGUGUGUAAGUGUGUGUGUAAGCAGGGGAGGGGCUAAGAGAGAGGGAGACAUAGAAUCUGAAGGAGGCUCUGACCUCCGAGCUGUCAGCACAGAGCCUGAUGCCGGGCGCGAACUGUGAGAUCAUGACCUGAGCCGAAGUUGGACACUUAACCGACGGAGCCACUCACGUAUCCCAAGUUUUCAUGACUGACGAUGUAUAAUAAACCAGUGGAUUUAUCCCAUUUUACACGACCAUAUUUUUCUUAUUUUGGACAUAUUUUGGUUGUUUCCAGGUUUUCAUUUUAUGAAUAAUUGCCAGAAAAGCAUCUUUGAGCAUAUGUAGUAAGCACCCCCCUCUGCUCUGUCCAUAUUUUAUCCCCCCCCCCCCCCCCCCCCGCCUUAGAAUAGACAUCUAGAAGUGGACGCUGUGGAUGAAAGGGCAUGGGGAUGUUUUUAAGGCUCUGUGUACAUAUUGCCAAAUUCCCUGCCAGUUUCACACACCACUUACCAGUUCUAGAUAUUACUGUGGUUUUAAGUUUUUGCCCAGUUAGCAAGUUACCAAAGUUGGCAUAAAACAAAAGUUACCUGUUGUUUUAAUGUGAAAUUUUUGGGUCACUCGGGAAGUUGAAUAUUUUCCUGUGUGUUUGCUUAUUAGUCACAUUUCCUAUUUCAGGAAUUUUAUUCCUGUCCUCCUCACCUGUUAGUAAAGGUUGGGUAAAGGAACACAGUGGUGGAAAGCAUGAGUUCUGGAGACAGUUGGCUCAGUCCCCACCUCGCAUCUGCCCCCGGGAGUGGGGGAUGUUGGGCAGGUGUUACCAUCUUGCCAAGAUUUUAGUUGCCAUUUUUGGACAUUUGUAAGAUUUUUUUUACUUUCGGAAUUUAAACAAUUUUCCAUUGUGCUUUCUUUUCUAAGUAUAGAGAAUGUUUCUCACCUUUCCAGAAGUUUAAUACUCAGUUCUAUUUUUGUUCUCUUUUUAAAAAUUAUCUCUUUACUGAGAUUUUAUUUUUAUGUUGUAAGCUCCUAUAAAAUGGAUCACUUUCCUAAGUGCCCGUGCUUAUUAUGAAGGCAUAAGAGAUGUUCCUCAGGAAUGAAAUUUGUCAUGUUUGAAAUUUCAAAAUUGGCACUGCAUUUGUAGUACAACUAAAUGUUCAGAAGUUAAUGUCUUCACCUAAAUCACUUUUAUUUUAGAGAAACCUGGUCAGAGAACCAGAAUUUAUUGGGUGUAUUAGCUAGUGUUUGGCAUGGUGAUUUGUUAGGGUUUGGAUAUUACAAACAGUUUUAUUGGUUCAGAAGUAUUUGGUGAGAUAUUUAUCUUUGAUUUUUUUUUUUUCUCUAAAGGUGAGUGUUAUAUAGGAAUCUGUACUUGAGAAACACGUGGCCUGUGUACAGUGUCCAGGGAGCAAUUAGAAGGGCAGUAUGUUAAAUCUCUUGCCUCAAGGCAAAACCAUUAGUUGUGCUGUGUAUGAGCCUCAAGGGGUGUAAAUAACCAGACCAUUCAUGAAAUCAUCAGUUUCCUUUUAUUUCAAGGCAACUGUAAAACCUUUAAUCUGUGGAAGAAUCAGAGGAAGUUGACCUAUUGGAUUUACAGAUUAUUUUCCUUUAUGUGAUUGUUUUGAGAAAGUAUAUUUCAGAAUUUACCAAUUCCUGGUUGAACAUUAGGAAUAUGAACUUUGAAUUCCAUUUUCUGUUUUGAUGUGAGCAUCCUAAAGUUCUGAUAUGAUUUAAAUGCAUGCAGACUUCUCUUAUGAACUCUUGUAUGUCUACGUAAAAGAUUUUCGGAUUGAUUUUAUUUUUUUAGAGAUUUAUUGUUGAUGUUUUUUGUUAAUUUAUUAGAGCUUAUCUUUAGGAGCAAAGAAAUUCCAUUUAUUGAUGGCUGAUAUUUCUCACUACCUUAAUAAGACAGAUCAUCCUCAGAAAUGAACAGCAAUCCAGUUUGUUUUCUGUAUUAAUUUGGGGGACAUUAUCAAAAGGGGAAGGGAUAACUCUUUUUUCCGUAUUACGGUUGUGUAUAAAUACCGUUUAAACAUUAGGAAGGCUUUUCUUCUUUACAAAAAAUUCUCAUUUGACACCCAAGCCUUCCCACUUCAUUCUGUCCCUCAGUAACCUUUCUUGUUUGUUUGUUUUCAUAUUUGUAUUUCUUGGAAGAGUGAUGUCACUCUGUUUCUUCACCUUCAGCUUCAUUCCUCAGUCCUCUGCCCUCUGGUCUUUGUCCCUGUCACUCCACUGAAGCUAUGCCUGUUAAGGAUCCCAGCGUCACUGAAUGCAAUGUGUUCUUCUCAUUUUCAUCUUAUUUAACAGCUGAACAACACUGAACGAAGCUGACCUGACCGCUCUUUCUAGUAACAUAGUCUUCAGUUGACUUUUAUAAUUCUAAACUCUCUUGGUUUUUCUCUUGCCUCUCAGGUUAACUCUGCCUCUCUUUGCUGGGUCACCUUCUACCCAUGUUUCUGGGCCCUUUCCCUACUCUUAACCUACUCUGAAAAAUUCCACAUUCUAGCUUCAAAUCUUUACUUCUCAUGAGCUCCAGCAGUCUGUAGUCUGUUCACUGGAUGUCUUUACUUGCUUCCAGCACUUGUGCCUCAAACUUAGUAUUUUCCUUACAAACUUGCCUUUCCCUAUAUGUCCCCUAGUUCUAUAAAUGGCACCUCAUCCUCUGGGUUCAAGCCAUCAGUGUCUUAGCAUUGCUACUUCUUCAGUAUAUGUAAAACAGAUCCUUUCUUGGUCACUACUGCUGCUACCCAAAGUCCAGCCAUUAUUGAUCUGGUUCAUUGCAAUAAGUUUUUCUGUAUCUUCCCAUGCCAUACGACCACUAACCCUUCCUCUAUACUGUACACAGAUAAUUUUUAAAAAGCCAUUAUGAUCAUGUUCUUUCCCUAUUUAAAAUCUCUUUGAGGCUAAAAUGUAAAAUUCUUAACUGUUGUCUGUAAGUCUCUGCUUGAUCUAGCCCUGCAUACAUCUUUAAUCUCAUAUCUUGCUCCCCUCACCUUUCGACAGAGAGAAUACAUUUUUCUUGAUAUCUAAGACUUGUAGCAUUAAAAUUACAGGAUAUAGUAGUAAUGAAUGUUUUGGUUUUAAAAUACUGCUUAUAAAAUUAUUCUUCAUUUUUCUGUACUUUUUCAUGUGUAGGCAUAUGUAUAUUAAAUGAGAUAGUGUAUGUUAAGGUGUUUAUAAUUUGUAAAUGUUAAUAUAAAAUAUUGUUUCUCUCAACUUUUUGCUCCCAUCCAUCAUUCCUUUUGCUUCCAUCUACAUGAUGGUAAAAGAUACUAUACAUGUGGUAACAAUUCUGUAGGAAUGUUGGGGUAGAAUGGACAUGAUUUUCCAAUUUAGAGCAUCCUUUGAAUGGGAAAUUAGGAAACAGUCCAUAAAAUAAAUCUUUACGAUAGGUGUGAUAUGUUUUGAAGAAAAGGUUGCUUAGAACCUGGUCUAGAUCAUCUGUAGAAGCCUUUUUCAGUUCUUUACUCUUGUGUCUGUAGCUUCCAUUUUAAGAAAACAUAUGGUGACCAUAGAAUAACUUCCUAUUUAUGUUUAAUCUAUGGAUAAACUCAGUGAAUGUGCUGUUUUAGCAGUACUUCUGACUUUCAGACAUUUUCAUAUGACCCUUUUGUCUGUAGGAGGAGGGUUAAGGCCAAACACCACCACUACCUGUGAAGAAGACCAUCAUCUUGUGACUGGAGAUAUGCUAAUGUGAAAUAUGAACGCUUUAACUAAGUCUUGAAUCACACCAUUAGUACUCAGGGGAACAAAAUUGCCAGGGAUUGGGGUUGUUGCUUAAAUGAGCUCCCCAAGUUUGUCUGUAAACUAGAAGUGACCCUAAUAAAAAUUCCAAAAGGGUUUUCUUUGGCUAGACAAACUAAUGUUAAUUAAUAUAGGGAAAAAAAAAAAGUGAUGAGAGGUAGAGCCAGCCCUAUAAGAUAUCGAAAGGUAUUAUUAAGCUACAUUAAUUAAAACUGUGUGAUGAAGGCACAUGUGUAGAUCUACAGAUCAAUGGAAUAAAGUAGAAAUACUGGAAAGAGACCUCAAAACACAUAGGACAUGAUAAAAUUGGCAUCUCAAAUCAGUGCUGAAAUUUAUUCAGUAAGUGGUGUUGGCAUAACUGGGGAGCCAACUGGAAAAAAAAUAAAGUGGAAUGUAUAAUUCAUACUUCUACCAGAAUGAAUUUUAAGUAGAUCAUGCUUUAAAUUUAAAAAGCAAAGUCACAAAAGAAAUAGAACUAAAUAGGAGAGAAAUUUUUUACAAUUUAGAAUGAAGUAGGUUUUCCCAACUUUGAUACAUAACUCUGAGGCAAUAAAAGAAAAAGACUCAUAAGUUAGUUAGACUUUAUAAAAAAUGAAUGUUUCUGCAUAUCAAAAACUAACACAAGCAAAGUCAAAAGAUAAGUUGAGAAAACAUUUAACUCCUCAAAGAUUAUAGGAGAUUUUCUUUAUAUAUAAAAUUUUUCUACAAAUCGUAAGAAAAAGACCAAAUUCGUAGAAAAAUGAGCAAAGGAUAUGUGUGGAGAUUUCAUGUAAAUGAGAUACAAAUGGCACUAAAUCUAAAGGUACUUAUUUUAUGAGAAAUGCAAAUUAAAACUGCAUCAGAUGCCCUUUAAAAACAACCCAUCACAUUGAUAAAAUAAAAAAUUUAACACAUUGUUAGCAUAGGUUAGAUAGGUGUGGGGUUAUAAACUGGCACAGUCUUUAUGGAGGGCAACUUGAUAGCAUCCAUUAGAUUUAUAAAUGUACAGACCUCUUUGACGUAACAGUUCCACAUCCAGGAAUUUAGCUUAUGCUGAAUUGAAAUGAAGUAGCUUAUUGAAGCAUUGUUUAUGGUAGCAAAACUCUGGAAACAACCUAAAUGUUCAUUAUGGAAGACUGGUUAAAUAAAUUAUGGUCCUUCCACAUAAUGGAAUAUUGUGCAGUUGUAAAAGAACAA